CGGGAAUGGCCGGGUGGCGAGAGGAGCCAUUACAGGAACUGGAGAUUAAACCCAAUCAAGAUGACAACCUCCCAAAAGCACCGAGAUUUCGUGGCAGAGCCUAUGGGGGAAAAGCCAGUGGGGAGCCUCACUGGGAUCGGUGAAGUCCUGGGGAAGAAGCUGGAGGAAAGGGGCUUUGACAAGGCUUAUGUGGUCCUUGGCCAGUUUCUGGUGCUAAAGAAAGAUGAAGACCUCUUCCAGGAAUGGCUGAAGGACACAUGUGGCGCCAAUGCCAAGCAGUCCCAGGACUGCUUUGGCUGCCUUUGAGAGUGGUGCGACGCUUUCUUGUGAUGCUCUCUGGGAAUCCUGCAAUCCCUAGUCCCAGCAUUGAGUUUUCAGAAUUUGCGUGUCCUCUACAAAAGAAAAGAUUGCUGUUUUCGUAGUCACCUCCGUCCGAUGUACUCUAGGGUCUUUUAGGAGUUUUCUCCCCUCACCAUUUCAACUUUUUUGGAAUUCUUGCUCUUGCAUGCAUCUCCCUUCUCCUGCCCCUGCCAGUUCCAUGUUACCAGUUACCAGCUUUCCUGAGUGGAUUCCUGGUCCCUUCCCUUACCCACACCUUUAACCUCCAGUCUGUUUCGUGCCAUUUGGCUCCUUUUUUUGGCAGAACAGUCACUGUCCUUGUAAAGUUUUUUAGAUCAAUAAAGUCAGUGGCCUUCAAAAAAAAAAA